UUCCAGACUCCUACGGGAGGCAGCAGUGGGGAAUAUUGCGCAAUGGGCGAAAGCCUGACGCAGCGACGCCGCGUGAGGGAUGGAGGUCUUCGGAUCGUAAACCUCUGUCAGCAGGGAAGAACGGUCACUGUGCUAAUCAGCAGUGAAUUGACGGUACCUGCAAAGGAAGCACCGGCUAACUACGUGCCAGCAGCCGCGGUAAUACGUAGGGGGCAAGCGUUAUCCGGAUUUACUGGGUGUAAAGGGAGCGUAGACGGCUGUGCAAGUCUGAAGUGAAAGCCCAGGGCUCAACCCUGGGACUGCUUUGGAAACUGUGGAGCUAGAGUGCUGGAGAGGUAAGUGGAAUUCCUAGUGUAGCGGUGAAAUGCGUAGAUAUUAGGAGGAACACCAGUGGCGAAGGCGGCUUACUGGACAGUAACUGACGUUGAGGCUCGAAAGCGUGGGGAGCAAACAGGAUUAGAUACCCCCGUAUA
rnacentral:rRNA from 1 species